CGUAGGGGGCGAGCGUUGUCCGGAUUUAUUGGGCGUAAAGCGCGCGUAGGCGGUGCGGUAAGUCGGCCGUGAAAUCUCCCAGCUCAACUGGGAGGGGUCGGGCGAGACUGCCACACUCGAGGUGGGCAGAGGCCGGUGGAAUUCCGGGUGUAGUGGUGGAAUGCGUAGAGAUCCGGAGGAACACCAGUGGCGAAGGCGGCCGGCUGGGCCUGGCCUGACGCUGCGGCGCGAAAGCGUGGGGAGCGAUCCGGAUUAGAUACCCGGGUAGUCCACGCCGUAAACGAUGGGCACUAGGUGUCGGGGGUAUCGACCCCCUCGGUGCCGGCGCUAACGCAAUAAGUGCCCCGCCUGGGGAGUACGGCCGCAAGGCUA
rnacentral:rRNA from 1 species